rnacentral:misc_RNA from 1 species
GAUGAAGAACGUAGUGAAAUGCGAUAAGUAGUGUGAAUUGCAGAAUUCAGUGAAUCAUCGAAUCUUUGAACGCACAUUGCGCCCCUUGGUAUCACGAGGGGCAUGCCUGUUCGAGCGUCAUUUCACCACUCAAGCCUGGCUUGGUGUUGGGCGACGUCCUCUUUGGGGACGCGCCUCGAAACGCUCGGCGGCGUGGCACCGGCUUUAAGCGUAGCAGAAUCUUUCGCUUUGGAAGUCGGGGCCCCGUCUGCCGGAAGACCUGCUCGCAAGGUUGACCUCGGAUCAGGCAGGGAUACCCGCUGAACUUAAGCAUAUCAAUAAGCGGAGGA